UACAGGCAAAGUUUGUAAGUAAGCUUUUAAUUUAGUUGAUUGUGAAUGCAACUGAUUGUAUUUAUAUUUCCAUUUGUGCCUUAAUUUGCAUGUAUAUGUAUUUUCAUUUACUGAAUGAAACGCAAGAAUUGUUGGCUGAGUACAUAUGAAGUGGUAACCAAGUUAUUGCAGAUCAGAUUGGCGACCAGGUGCUUCUCACUUAAGUAUACAUUAAGAGCUUGGGGCAUAGAUCAAAAUCCGAAGUUGGUAACAUUCCCGUAUAAGAAUUAGGGAGUUUGCCAGGCUAUUAAGAAGUAUCAAGA
rnacentral:misc_RNA from 1 species